CAAUGGCAUCACUGUGGCCCUGCAUGACCACCAGUGUCACUUGGGCAGAAACACAGGAUUUGUCUGCACCCUGGACCGCCCACUCCUCAAGCCACCAGUGCUGACUGCCACUGCCCAGGUCCACCUUGCUGUGCACACCCAGCCCUCAGCCAGUGCCCAUGUAGAGCGCAAGGACAGAGGAGACGUGGCUUCUCUGCACAAGGGUCAUGCUCAGCCUGUAAGAGGAGGAAACUCUAAGAUACCCAGGACUAACCCUGACCAAGGAGGAAGAGAACUCCACAAUGAAGAUGACAGAUUGCUUUCUCAAGGAAGAGCAAAGAAAUAUAUGAAAAAAUGUUCAGCAUCACUGGUCAUUCGAGAGAUGCAAAUGAACACAACACUGAGAUUCCACCUCACUCCAGAAAGAAUGGCUGCUAUCAUGAAAUCAACCAAUAACCAAUGCUAGUGGGGCUGUGGGGAAAGAGGAACCCUGUUCCACUGCUGGUGGGAGUGUAGACUGGUGCAAGCACUGUGGAAAUCAGUAUGGAGAUACCUCAAAGAACUAGGACUGGAAGUCCCAUUUGACCCAGCUAUUCCCCUGCUGGGGAUCUUCCCCAAAGAAUUAAAAGAAUCAUACCACAGUGAUAUAUGUGCACCCAUGUUCUUAGCAGCACAAUUUGUAAUAGUUAAAACUUGGAAACAGCCCCAAUGCCCAUCAACUGGAGACUGGAUAAAGAAAAUGUGGGUUUUUUUUUUAAUAAAAUAGAGUACUACUUGGCCAUAAAAAAUGAGAAAUUAGAGACAUUUAUAGCUAAUUGGAU
rnacentral:lncRNA from 1 species